rnacentral:rRNA from 1 species
UGGGGAAUAUUGGACAAUGGGCGAACGCCUGAUCCAGCCAUGCCGCGUGUGUGAAGAAGGUCUUCGGAUUGUAAAGCACUUUAAGUUGGGAGGAAGGGCAGUAAGCGAAUACCUUGCUGUUUUGACGUUACCGACAGAAUAAGCACCGGCUAACUCUGUGCCAGCAGCCGCGGUAAUACAGAGGGUGCAAGCGUUAAUCGGAAUUACUGGGCGUAAAGCGCGCGUAGGUGGUUCGUUAAGUUGAAUGUGAAAGCCCCGGGCUCAACCUUGGAACUGCAUCCAAAACUGGCGAGCUAGAGUAGGGCAGAAGGUGGUGGAAUUUCCUGUGUAGCGGUGAAAUGCGUAGAUAUAGGAAGGAACAUCAGUGGCGAAGGCGACCACCUGGGCUCAUACUGACACUGAGGUGCGAAAGCGUGGGGAGCAAACAGG